AGAGGGAUAACUGGGUCAAAUGGUGGUUACAUUCCAAAUUUUUUAAGGAAUACCUAUUCUGUUUUCCAGAGUGGCUGCACCAUAUGCAGUCUCACCAACAAU
rnacentral:pre_miRNA from 1 species